rnacentral:rRNA from 1 species
AGUGAACGCUGGCGGCAGGCCUAACACAUGCAAGUCGAACGGCAGCACGGCAGUAGCAAUACUGUGGGUGGCGAGUGGCGGACGGGUGAGGAAUACAUCGGGAUCUACCCUGUUGUGGGGGAUAACGUAGGGAAACUUACGCUAAUACCGCAUAAGAACUGAGGUUGAAAGCGGCGGACCGCAAGGCGUCGCGCGAUUGGAUGAACCGAUGUCCGAUUAGCUAGUUGGCGGGGUAAAGGCCCACCAAGGCGACGAUCGGUAGCUGGUCUGAGAGGACGACCAGCCACACUGGAACUGAGACACGGUCCAGACUCCUACGGGAGGCAGCAGUGGGGAAUAUUGGACAAUGGGCGCAAGCCUGAUCCAGCCAUGCCGCGUGGGUGAAGAAGGCCUCGGUGUAAGACCUUUCGUCGUAAGAAAGACAUCGUUAUACCGGU